rnacentral:rRNA from 1 species
UUCCGGUUGAUCCUGCCGGACCCGACCGCUAUUUGGGUGAGGAUAAGCCAUGCGAGUCGAAUGGGAAACCUAAAAUUCCCAUGGCAAACUGCUCAGUAACACAUGAUCAACUUACCCUAUAGAGAAAAAUAACCUCGGGAAACUGAGGAUAAUGUUUCAUAAUUGAAUCGGCUUGGAAAAGUUUUUCAAUUAAAAGAAUAAGAAAAAUGGUUCUUGUUCGCUAUAGGAUAGGAUCGUGGACGAUUAUGGUUGUUGGUGAGGUAACGGCUCACCAAGCCGAUAAUCGAUAGGGGCCGUGAGAGCGGGAGCCCCGAGAUGGGUACUGAGACAACGACCCAGGCCUUACGAGGCGCAGCAGGCGCGGAACCUCCGCAAUACACGAAAGUGUGACGGGGUUACCCAAAGUGUUCAUUAUUGAACUGUGGUAGGUGAGUAAUGUUCCCUACUAGAAAGGAGAGGGCAAGGCUGGUGCCAGCCGCCGCGGUAAAACCAGCUCUUCAAGUGGUCGGGAUAAUUAUUGGGCUUAAAGUGUCCGUAGCUGGUUUAGUAAGUUCCUGGUAAAAUCGGGUAGCUUAACUAUCCGUAUGCUAGGAAUACUGCUAUACUAGAGGGCGGGAGAGGUCUGAGGUACUACAGGGGUAGGGGUGAAAUCUUAUAAUCCUUGUAGGACCACCAGUGGCGAAGGCGUCAGACUGGAACGCGCCUGACGGUGAGGGACGAAAGCCAGGGGAGCGAACCGGAUUAGAUACCCGGGUAGUCCUGGCCGUAAACGAUGCAUACUAGGUGAUGGUACGGCCAUGAGCCGUAUCAGUGCCGUAGGGAAACCGUUAAGUGUGCCGCCUGGGAAGUACGGUCGCAAGGCUAAAACUUAAAGGAAUUGGCGGGGGAGCACCACAAGGGGUGAAGCCUGCGGUUCAAUUGGAUUCAACGCCGGG